ensembl:lncRNA
CUCCUGCAGCUCUGAUUGAAAUUAUUGAUUGGUGUGACGGGACAGACACACUGACAGAGAGACAGAGGACACCGUAGGGGAAGAGGACGAGAGAAAACAAUAGGAGACAACAGACAAGAAGAAGGAGAAGAAAGAACCUGAAGUCAACUUUAAAUGUCUGAAGUGGAGGACAGGAACGGAGAAACAUUAAAACAUUGACAAAGGAGGGAGACAAAUUAAUUUGUCUCUAUGGAUGGACAGCUGAGCUGAAGGUCAACAGCCAGAGAGCCGCUCGAAAGCAGCGAGGUGCAGAGGGACAGAAAGGAUUCCUAGCAUGCAGCUGGAUGUGUGUUUGGAGUGCCGCGCCGCAGCCCCACAGCGAGGGGCGGAAGGGCAACACCAGGCUCCGUCCUCCCUCUCCUCCACACUCCAUUAGUGCACCGGGCCCCUCGGACAGCAGCUCACAUCAGCCAGAGAACAAGCGCUUCAUCCACGCCGCGCUAAAUCCACUGUGUCCAAACGCCUCUUUCACUGCUGCCACAGAGAGCCAGUGAGUGCAGCACAAAGGCCCCCAAGUCCCACAGGAGCCAAAGAGCUCCUGCAGCACAGAGAGGAGCAGACCAGGACAUCGACUCUCCCCACCAAACAAGCCACUGUCAGGCUUUACACUCAGUUCAUCAUUCUGCACAGCACAUCACUGUGGUCUAGUGGCUGCAGUGUUACGAGCGCGAGAGGACUGACCGCAGUGUGUAGGCUAGAGUCCUCUGCUAGGAUUAAAGAUGGGGGAAGCAUAUUUAGUGUUGACCUCCUAAAUCUCUGGCCUGCACUGUCUGGUAUUGAUUCUUGUGACAAAAUAUGGGAAAGAAAAUGCAGGGCUGCUGUUUGGGGCAAUAAAUGUGUCCAGUUUCUUCUCCUGUGCUUCCUGCCUGAACG